rnacentral:rRNA from 1 species
UGAGUUUGAUGAUGGCUCUGAUUGAACGCUGUCCAAAUGCUUGACACAUGCUAAUCGAACGUCAUAGGAUUAAUCCUAUGAAGUGGUGUACAGGUGAGUAAAUGAAGUUAUAGCUGCCUUAGAGUAAGGAGAAAAAUCCCUUAUAAGGUAACAAAUAUAAAAAAUUUGUUACUAAAAGAAAAACUUUCGCUUUAAGAUGUUUAUAAUUUUCUCGGGUAAGUAGUAGUUGAGGUAAUUGCUCAACUAGCUUAAGCCCGUAGUCGAAACUGAGAGGUUGAUCGACCACAUUGGGUCUGAAAAAACCCCAAUACGUAUAGUACAGCAGUGAGGAAUAUUGGUCAAUAGCCUAACGGCUGAACCAGCAACUUGGAGGAAUGUAAGUCUAUCUAGGGUUCGCCUUAGCUAGACGUUUCGACUACGUCGUAUAAAGUUCUAGAUAGAAUACUGAUAAUGACAAUUUUCUAUCUAUAUGUCUUGACCAAAUCUCGUGCCAGCAGUCGCGGCAAUACGAGGAAGACUAGUGUUAUUCAUCUUUAUUAGGUUUAAAGGGUACCUAGACGGUAAAUUAAACUCUAAAUGAGUACUUGUUUACUAGAGUUUUAUGAGAGAAGGAAGAAUUUCUGGAGUAGUGAUUUAAUACGUAUAUCCCAGAGAGACUGGUAACGGCGAAGGCGUCCUUCUAUGUAAAAACUGACGUUGAGGGACGAAAGUGUAGGGAGCAAACAGGAUUAGAUACCCUGGUAGUCUACACUGUAAAUUAUGAGUGCUGUAAUUUAAUGUAAACAAAAUUUAUUUAGAUUUUUAAGUUAACACCAUAAGCACUCCGCCUGAGGAGUACGGUCGCAAGGUUGGAACUCAAAGGAAUUGACGGGGGCUAAUACUAGUGGUGGAGCAUGUGGUUUAAUGCGAUAAUCCGCGCAAAACCUUACCAAUUUUUGACAUAUAAUAAUUUUUUUUUGUACUUUAUUAUGUAGAAAAAAAAUUUAUUUUACAGGUGUUGCACGACUGUCGUCAGCUCGUGUCGUGAGAUGUUUGGUUAAGUCCCGCAACGAGCGCAACCCUUGCCAUUAGUUGCUACGAAAGGGCACUCUAAUGGGACUGCCGGUGACAAACCGGAGGAAGGUGGGGAUGACGUCAAGUCCUCAUGGCCCUUAUAGGUGGGGCUACACACGUCAUACAAUGGCUGGUACAGAGGGUUGCCAACCCGCGAGGGGGAGCCAAUCCCAUAAAGCCAGUCGUAGUCCGGAUCGCAGUCUGCAACUCGACUGCGUGAAGUCGGAAUCGCUAGUAAUCGCGGAUCAGAAUGUCGCGGUGAAUACGUUCCCGGGUCUUGUACACACCGCCCGUCACACCAUGGGAGCGGGUUCUGCCAGAAGUAGUUAGCCUAACCGCAAGGAGGGCGAUUACCACGGCAGGGUUCGUGACUGGGGUGAAGUCGUAACAAGGUAGCCGUAUCGGAAGGUGCGGCUG